UGCUGAUCUGUGCUGUAAAGUUGGAGAUUUUACCAUGGGGUUCCAUGGGGAUUCACUCACCUUAUGAGACAGCCUCUGGUGGAGAAACUGCAGUUUGGUGGUGCUGCUGCUGCAUCAGGGGAAUUUAUGAAUAAUAUAACAAGUUCCACUUUAAAUCAAAAACUUUUAGCAACUUUCAAAAGUUUUCUCUUUAACCUGAUUUAUUAUCCAUAGUUUUAGACUCCAAUACAGCAUUAUUAUGUCAUCCUAGACUCCUACAAAAAUACCAAACUUCCACUAAAGACAAAUUUAUGAAUCAACAUUUUAACUCUGUUUGGUCUCAAAAAUACAAACUGUCCAUAAACAGUCCUGCUGCACACAAAGAUACACUUCUACUUCUUUUCUGAGAUGUCUCUCUCUCUUCUCUUCUGUCAGAAUGAUUUUCCACUUUUCUUCAUUUUCCUCUACCUCAUCAGACACUAUACACCACACACACACACACACACACACAUACCAAAUGGCAGCAGCGUCAUGUAGGAGGAUAAAUCAGCACUCCUCAGCAGAAAGGUCAGCAGAGUCAAGACACCCCGAUUAAUUUCUUUUUUCUCAACUCUCGGAGAAACAGAUUUAUUAUGAACUCCUCUCGUCCUCAGAGGGACACCAAAACCCAUCACGUGAUUCAGUCCUCCACAAACUCUACUGCAGAACCUGAGGCCUGUACUACGAAGCUGGAUUUGGUCUUAGCGAGAUAACUUCUGGAUAACUUCUGGGUUUUCUGUACUACGAAGGUGGAUCUCUUUUUAUCCGGGUCCGUUGCCCCGGUAACUUACGCGGAACGCCAAACCUGCUCCGGAGCAGGUUAUGUUUCAGGAUAAGAUCUCAGCAGGAAUAGAAGACCGCCCGAUGACCAAUCGGAUCUCUUGGAAAAUGGCUUGCCCACUUUUGCCGGAUCCCGGGGACAUCGUUGCACGGAUAGUGAGAGGAGCGCUUCGCCGAGAGCGUUAUAUUCGUGAUCGUUCAAACCCCUUUGAUUUACCUGAUGACGUUCUCUCUCAAUAUUCAGGUUGCAUGAAGUCUAAGCAAUACACUAAUAUUUGCCCAGCUCCAGGUUCCAAUUUCAUGCGGCAUUUCAGUCAUCAUUCAGAAUUUAUUGAAGCAGAUUAGAAAACUCUUAACCCCAAAUGUGUCUGCAGAUGACAUGUGACCGUCAGAUGAUGAAGAAAAAAAGGCAGUGUGAGGAAAUCACUGUUUACGCGUUGAAAUGUGUACAAAUAAAAUCUUCCAAUAAACUUACAAACUACUUUAAAGAAUGUUUUUAGAUUUAUUUUUAUUUGCUCCCACGUACUCUUUUCCCCACUGCUGUUGUAUCUGAAAUAAUGAGGUCUAUGAUGGAGGUGAUCACACACGCUGCAUGACAACAUAUAAGGGGGGCAUAAAUUUAUGAACGCACAAAUGUAAUUUACAAAAACGGUGAUUUUUUUUUUUUUGCCAGCAGUCCCUCCGGUUUUUAGCGGCUGCGGCUGUCUCACUGUUUAAAUUAAGCUCUGUUCUUCAGCUGUGAAAAAUGACGUGCAGCCUUCUCCAUUGUGGAGAUUGGUCCGGUGGCACUGACCCCACCCUCUUUACGUGUGCGCGCACAGAUCUGAAGUGGAUUCAGUUUUCGAGUUGAUAACCGGCUUCGUAGUACAGCUGAUCGGGAUCGCGGAGAUCCGGUGAAGUUGAGCGAGUUGUCGCAGAGUUACCCUGGAUGUAUUAAUCCAGCUUCGUAGUACAGGCCUCAGGGCUGCUCUUGGAGGUGGAUCAAGAACUAAAGCAUAGACCCAGUUAAAGUUUCUGAAUUACCACAGGAUCCCAUACCCACCACCAAACACUCCAUCUACUAAACAAAUAACACACAUUUUAAAAGUGUGUUCAGUUUGCCUCAACCUAUAGAGCUGAUAGCAAUCAAUCCAACAACAACUAACUUUCUGUGUUACUUCAAUCACACUGAUUGAUUGAUAUGCACUGACGCCCAUCUCCCACCUGGACAAAAAUGGGUGUGAAACUUAUAUUAAGGACAUUUGGACUCAACAGAGACCCCAUAGACACAAUGAUCAUCAUUUCAUGACAUUUGACAUGUACCUGAUUUAAAGGUGAGGCACUUCACCAAGCGAACCCCAAUACUCAGGUUUGAUUGAUAAAGGAGGUGAACCUCAAUAAACUACAGGUACAGUCAGGUUGGUGGUUUGGAUGAAGGUGAGGAGACUUUUUUUGUAUAGCUAUGCCUUUGAUAAACCAGAGGACUUUGAAAAAGCUUUCUUGAGACUUUCGUAGGACUAACAUUUGAUACCCUCCCAGUGUUUUGUGCAUGUGUAACUACGGCUUCUGUCAAGCUGCUUUUUUAUUUCAAGUUUAUUUAAGGGCUUUAUGGCUCUCCGGGAGGGAGAAUGACAUGAGUUGAAAGGUUUUCUCUUUACUCAAUGAACGGUUUGUUUGAAUUUUGGCGCUCCCUGUGGACAAAGCAGUUUUAGCGCAUCUUGUCCAUCAUGAGUUCAGGUCGUGAAACAAAAUUCUUAUCCUGCUGACUUUUGGGAAAUGUCCUCUGUGUUGGGGUUAGACCCCCUGAGGUUAGAGUUUGGGUGGUAUUUAUUGGAGCAAUUCAGCAAGAAGGCUUAGACCUGGAGGGUUCAAACCACACGGAAGUGCAACAGGAAGAAAGAAAGACAGAAAGAAAGAAAGAAAGAAAGAAAGAAAGAAAGAAAGAAAGAAAGAAAGAAGUCUCAGAUGAACUUUAUGAAGUGUAAAACAUGGAUCCAAGUUUAACUAGGAGUGAUGCUUGGACGUGGUUUCUGACCCUGAGGUAGACAAGGGUCUCUUUAAACCGUCUUGCUGAAAGGCACAGAGUUGUAAAUCUCAGGAACAAGCUCAUGAAACAGUCACAUAAAAAGUCAACGAGGUGGUGAGCGGAGAAACAGUAGCUGUGAGAGGAAGGAGGAGGAGGAGUGAUGGUGACCCCGGCUCCCCCCUUCUCUCCUGUCAGUCAGCUCCACCUCAGCUUUCCCCCCGAAAAAACAAUCAAGUUUUUAUGAAGCCGAGGUCGACUGUCAUUUCACAGAGAGAAACCUGAGACGUGAUCUUACACUGCACACGCACACACACACACACACAUACACACACACACACACACACACACACACAGCAAGACUGAAAAGUGUUGCUUUUUCACAAAAUGUAAUCGAUUGUUUCUCUGCAAUAAAGAAAGCAUAUAUAGUAGCUCCUUUUUUGACUCAACUAUGUGACACUUCAUACUCUCAGAGCUAAAACUUACUCACAGGAUCCAUUUUGCUGUUUUCACAUUACACGAUUAUCUUCAGUGGAGGAAGUUUUUAUAUGCUGAAAUUUCAAGCCAUUAUUAGCAGUGUAUUGAACAUUGUAUUGUAGCCUAAAGACCACAUCAGGAUGAGACGUGACCUGCAUCAUUUAGAAAUCAAACAGAAAGUUUCUCUCCACAAUAAUUUUCAUGAAGAAAAACCCAGAGAGAUGCAUUAGAUUGUUAAGCAGCUAGAGCAAAGGUACUGCAGUUUGUUGAAGUAAAUCACAGGAAGUGAUUCUUUUCUGUUUUAGCAUCUUAACAGUCGAGGUACAUCCACACCCGGAUACUUUGGAGGAGUUGUUUACCUCCUUGUCUCUGGUCAUUUGUAUUUAUGUGCCCACAGUCACUCUGCUGAAGAACAAAACAAGUGAGCUGAGAUCGUCUCAAAGAGCCUUUGCUUACUUCCAAUAAAGUCUUAGAGCAACGAGCACACAAUCAACCCAGCAACCACAACAAACAGCUUCCUGACUCAUUACAUUCCAGUGGCACUAAGGUUGUUAGCACAAGAGUAGCUAAGUUCACUCACCAUUUCCAGCCUGUCAACACCAGCAGAAGAGCCGGUGUUUGGUAAAGCAACAUCACAGGACUUUUAAACAUUUGCUGGUUAUAUAACUGGUUGUGUGUGACCCACAAGUGUGUAUACCACUGUGUUUUUGUGAAUGGUGUUUUGCAUAACCUUCGGGCUUUUAACAGCCAAUUUAUGAUAGAGCUAGAGACUAAUUUGGAUAUAACUUUUUUUUUACUGCAGCAAAUGUGAUGAAUUUUUUUUUCUAAGCUUAAUUUGAAA